GUGAAAACUCUGGCCUGAGAUAAAAGAGUGAGAUAGCAGUUUAAUAUAAAUGAGACAACAUAAUAGCACAAUUACUUUGGCUAAUAUUACAAUGCACAAUCACCUUAGCCUAGCUAUUUGCAGAAAAGGAGGAGCGCUGAAAUGUAGGGGAAAGCAAACAAACAACAGCAUAAAGCAGAAACCAAACAUGCUACCCAACUCCCACCCAUACUGCUGCCAUUCCUGCAAAAAGAGCCAACAACCAAAACCCUGAACCCAGAAGCAGCAAGCAGAAGAGGAAGCCUCCCAUGUUACAAUCUGAACUUUGAGCACCAUAAUGCUUUGCUCCCGCCAGCACUUUCGUUUUCAAGCAGGCAUGAGGCAGUGAUAGCAGAUUAAAACUCAACCUGUGACAUACCUCUAGAGAAAUGCAUUUAAGAAAAGGUGAGAGCACUGCACAGGUGGUGAUGAGUGAGGAAAAGAGAUGAGAAACACUCUUGUAAUCACCAGGGUCACAGAAGAAAGAAAAGGAGGAAGUGUUCUGGGUGAUGGAGCAGAGAUUCCUCUGCAGUCCAUGGUGCAGUAGAUAUGCACACUGCAGCCUAGGGAAUCAUAAGCUCAACCCAGUUCCUCCUGAAGGAUUGCAGCCUGUGGAAAGGUCCCAUGCUUGAGCAAGGAAGAAGUGUGAGGAGGAGGGAGCUGUAGAGAUGAACCAUUCCCUAUCCCUUUCCACUGACUGAGAAGGAGAGCUCUAAGAGAACGAAAGAGCCUGGGAAAAAGGCAGAGAUUGUCAUAGACACUAAAAUCUGACUUAUCCUCCAAAGGAGAAUUGAUGCAAGAAGCAAAAUCUGUUCAGAGUUAUUCAGUACAAGCCACCACCUCCAUGAGCACAAGGAGUCCUCCAGUCAGGUCCUGAACCACCAAGGUGCAGCACAGUGGAAAAGAAUUUGACUAAUGCAAACUUAAAGUAGUAUUUCUGGGGAAAUGGCUCAAACUACUAGACUAGAUCCCAUGUUGCCAUUUAUGUAUUUGUAUAUUGAGUUGGUAAACAAGUGAUGUUUGCUUUAAUUGACUUUACUCAGUGAGGAGUCAACUACCAAGCUUCCAGACACUUUAAAUAUCUGAGACUUUCAAUGUGAAGAAUCUUCAUUUACUGAAUGAUAUAUUUAAUAGUAACACAUACAUUAGUAGAGAAUAUUGAUAUUUGAAUGGAAUAAGUGCAUCUAUUUUCUGCCUCUUGACUGAAACCAGACACAAUAAUAAUCAAUCACUUGGGCAUAGUGAAUUUUGGAAUAAUGAUCCUGAAAAUUACGUCUUUGAGAGCUCAUCUGUAGUAUGUGGGACAAAGAUUGCUGUAUUGAGAGUGUCUUCCUCAUAGAGGCCUUUACACUACCAAAUGCCUUCUGUGUGUUGGUAUUCAGUCUGACUCAUGAAAAGACUGACUUGGCACAUUGAGGUCAGAUGAGUGCUUCUGUAUUAAAAUUUUAAUAUUAAUUCCUUGGAAUAGUUUCCAUAUAUCUUUUGCCUCUAACACAGUAAGUUAAUUAGUAUAAUACUAUGUGCUUAGCCUAUAGCUUGCUCUGUAAAAACAUCACUAUGUGUAUGCAUUAAUAAAUAUAUAUAUAAGCAGGAA